GUUGGUGCAAAAGUAAUUGCGGUUUUUGCAUUGAAAGUAAUAAAAAACUGCAAUUACUUUUGUACCAA
rnacentral:miRNA from 1 species